UUGCUUUACAUUGUAGUGUUCCCUGAGACUUCACCCUAAUUCCCGACUAGCUCAGAUGUUAGGAAGAAGCCUCUGGGAUCCACUACAUGGACGUGAAUAAAAGAUAACAAAAGAG